AUUGAACGCUGGCGGCGUGCCUAACACAUGCAAGUCGAGCGGUAACAGGUGUAGCAAUACAUGCUGACGAGCGGCGAACGGGUGAGUAAUGCUUUGGAAUCUUCCCAGUAGUGGGGGAUAACCAGUCGAAAGAUUGGCUAAUACCGCAUACGUCUGUAAAGGGAAAGCGGGGGCUCGUAAGACCUCGCGCUAUUGGAUGAGCCAAAGUCGGAUUAGCUAGUUGGUGGGGUAAUGGCCUACCAAGGCGACAAUCCGUAGCUGGUCUGAGAGGACGACCAGCCACACCGGAACUGAGACACGGUCCGGACUCCUACGGGAGGCAGCAGUGGGGAAUAUUGGACAAUGGGGGAAACCCUGAUCCAGCGACGCCGCGUGUGUGAAGAAGGCCUGCGGGUUGUAAAGCACUUUUAGUGGGGACAAAAAGCUACGGAUUAAUACUCUGUGGUCUUGAUUUAACCCAAAGAAAAAGCACCGGCUAACUCUGUGCCAGCAGCCGCGGUAAUACAGAGGGUGCGAGCGUUAAUCGGAAUUACUGGGCGUAAAGCGCGCGUAGACGGUUUUGUAAGUCAGAUGUGAAAUCCCUGGGCUCAACCUGGGAACUGCAUU
rnacentral:rRNA from 1 species